AUUGAACGCUGGCGGCAUGCCUUACACAUGCAAGUCGAACGGCAGCACGGGUGCUUGCACCUGGUGGCGAGUGGCGAACGGGUGAGUAAUACAUCGGAACAUGUCCUGUAGUGGGGGAUAGCCCGGCGAAAGCCGGAUUAAUACCGCAUACGAUCUACGGAUGAAAGCGGGGGACCUUCGGGCCUCGCGCUAUAGGGUUGGCCGAUAGCUGAUUAGCUAGUUGGUGGGGUAAAGGCCUACCAAGGCGACGAUCAGUAGCUGGUCUGAGAGGACGACCAGCCACACUGGGACUGAGACACGGCCCAGACUCCUACGGGAGGCAGCAGUGGGGAAUUUUGGACAAUGGGCGAAAGCCUGAUCCAGCAAUGCCGCGUGUGUGAAGAAGGCCUUCGGGUUGUAAAGCACUUUUGUCCGGAAAGAAAUCCUUGGCUCUAAUACAGUCGGGGAUGACGGUACCGGAAGAAUAAGCACCGGCUAACUACGUG
rnacentral:rRNA from 1 species